AAGUCGUAACAAGGUAACCGUAGGUGAACCUGCGGUUGGAUCAUUAAUGAAUUUGUCUGCGGAAGCAUUCAACAAAAGGCCUAGGUUAAAACCUGGCUGAAACCUUGUGUGAAUCGUUUUGUAUGUCUCUGGCAUGACUUUUGACAUGCCUCUGACCUUUUUAAAAAACAUUAUUUGAAUUUUGGUUUGAACAAAUUUAUAAUUUGAAACAACUUUUGACAACGGAUCUCUUGGCUCUC
rnacentral:misc_RNA from 1 species